GUGAUACACAGGCUGGGCUGCUACUCCCGUGACAAAAUUCCUGAUCUGCUAUUAGUUGGGCCUCGAGUCUUUCCUGUGUGACCAAUUCAUCCACGCGAUCUCUCUGCAUCCCCGCUCCACUUCGUGCCCUAGGCCUAAUCGCCGCACCGGCGAUGACGGUGAGUGAUGCUUUGGGUUGCUGCCACCAGCCCUACUGCUCCCGGUCCCUUUGGUUGUGUUCAUCAAGGUUCCAGUCAACUGAUUUGGGCAAAUCUUGGAGGUUGGUACUCAUCGAGCCGCCGAUCUUCAAUCUGAUCCAUUCAAGUCAGGCUUGACUGAUUGAUGCAGGGCGAAUCAAGGCGGGCCUGACUGAUUGAUGCAGGGCGAAGCAAGGCCGGGGUCAAUUUUUGUUGGUUCUAUCGGUAAUGGCCUCGCUCGACACUUCCUUGGCGUUGACACUUACAUGCGGUGGAUUUUCACGCCCCUACGCCCCUUCUUCACUGGACAAUAAUACAAAGGGUACUCCAAAUUUCCAUCUUUGCUCCUCCUCCAUGCUUUGUUCCCCCUUUUCGAGUGUUUGUAUUUUGCAACUUAAUUUCUUGUUUAUAUGGUUUAACAUGGAUUGAUUGGUCGAGGAGAGUACGGCAACAAGAUAUGGUGCUAGAGAUAUGGAUUUCCCAGGGAGUCAGCUCGAUGUAGUGUAGUAACCUCGGCUUACCUUAUCUUCGCGGCCUCUGAAUGCCGUUACAAUUUGAAAAUAAGGAUCCUUGAUUAUAUUGCUAUGUUUUGAUACACGGCUGUAUCUUCCGAAACUUGUGCUGGAUGCUUCGGGCGUUUGUGUUCCUCAAUGAGAAAUCGUUCCAUGCACCUGACAA